GAUGAACGCUGGCGGCGUGCCUAAUACAUGCAAGUCGAGCGAACGGACGAGAAGCUUGCUUCUCUGAUGUUAGCGGCGGACGGGUGUGUAACACGUGGAUAACCUACCUAUAAGACUGGGAUAACUUCGGGAAACCGGCGCUAAUACCGGAUAAUAUUUUGAACCGCAUGGUUCAAAAGUGAAAGACGGUCUUGCUGUCACUUAUCGAUGGAUCCGCGCUGCAUUAGCUAGUUGGUAAGGUAACGGCUUACCAAGGCAACGAUGCAUAGCCGACCUAAGAGGGUGAUCGGCCACACGGGAACUGAGACACGGUCAAGACGACUACGAGAGGCAGCAGUAGGGAAUCGUACGCAAUGGGCGAAAGCCUGACGGAGCAACGCCGCGUGAGUGAUGAAGGUCUUCGGAUCGUAAAACUCUGUUAUGAGGGAAGAACAUAUGUGUAAGUAAAUGUGCACAGCUUGACGGUACCUAAUCAGAAAGCCACGGCUAACUACGUG
rnacentral:rRNA from 1 species